rnacentral:lncRNA from 1 species
UGUGUGUACGCGUGGGCGCUGUGCGGGAAGGCAGCAGGUGAGGAGUGGGUCCCUCCUGGGCAGGAGGAGAGUGUUAUGUGCUGUCAGCCAGGUGAGUCUGUCAUAUUCAUACCCCGGGGCUUGGCUGGCAGCCUGAGCAGCUGGGUGCUGGGAUCAAGCUCCUCUGCCCUUGUGUUAAUCCUGAGCCAUAGAAGUUUCAUCUAGUUCCCUCCCUGGUCAGAUGUCUGUGCAGACGUCCCUCUGUGCCUGAAUUAGGGAACAGAAUUCCUCAUGGGGGUGUCCCCCUGUGGCGAUGUGCAGGCAGGCCCCUGAUGCCUCCUGGCCCAUCUGCCGGGCACUGUCUUUCCAGAACUCCACGCAGGAGAUCUUUGAAGAGCUACAUGAUGGGUUCGACUUCUCUCCCUCCCUAGUCAAGGGGCAGGAGCAGCAGGCCGCCAGCAGCAUCCUGUGCCGGUCUGAGACCUGCUCCAAGCCUCACAAAUCAUCACACUUGCUAGGCUGAUUACACACAAAGAGCAUGGGCGUGGAUUACAGGAUUCUAUACAUUUCUCUGCACCUUGUCAUCUCACAAAACACUUCGAAUCAUAGCAGUUUGUUACGUGCUGUAAAACUGAACUCCACUCAGGAGAUGUUUGAAGAGUUAUGUGUUGGGUUCGACUUCUCUCCCUCCCUAGUCAAGGGGCAGGAGCAGCAGGCCACCAGCAGCAUCCUGUGCCGGUCUGAGGAACCCACCCUGUCCGUGGCUGAGGCCCGCACGAUGCUGACCCUCAAGGCAGGCGCAGUGCAGAAGGUGGUAGGAUGCCUGCAACCAUCUUUCCAUGGCAGAUCCAUCUCCGUCACCACCUUCCCGUGUGUGUACCAGGCCUUCUACCCGACCCCACAGGUCCUGGACCAGCUGCUCCAGAGCUCCUGCCCCAGCUCUAGCACUUCUGCCAGGUGCAGAGGCAGAAAAGGGGUCACAUCUGGAGCUGGACGGAACUCCAGUUCUAUUUCUGCCAUCACUUCUAGCGCUGGAGCCGCCAGCAGCGCCCUCAGCUGCUCCAGACCCCGAGCGAGUGCCAUCAGCAGC